rnacentral:rRNA from 1 species
GAUGAACGCUGGCGGCGUGCUUAAUACAUGCAAGUCGAGCGAACAGACGAGGAGCUCGUUCCGGUGUCGUUAGCGGCGAACGGGUAACUAACACGUGGAUAACCAAUCUAUUAGACUGGGCUAACUUCGAGAAACCGGAGCCAAUACCGGAUAAUAUAUUGAACCGCAGGGUGCAAUAGUGAAAGACGGUUUUGCUGCCACUUGUAGGUGGAUCCGCGCCGCAUUAGCUAGUUGGUAAUGGAACGGUAUACCAAGGCAACGAUGCGUAGCCGUCCUGGGGGGGUGAUCGUCCACACUGGAACUGAGACACGGUCCCGGCCCCGACGGAAGGCAGCAGUAGGAAUUCUGCCGCAAGGAGCGAAGGCGUGACGGAGCAACGCCGCGUGAGUGAGGAAGGUCUCCGGAUCGUAAAACUCUGUUCCUAGGGAAGAAGAAGUGGGUAAGUAACUGGGCGCGUCGUGACGGUACCUAAAGAGAAAGCCACGGCUAACUACGUG